rnacentral:ncRNA from 2 species
UAUAAGGUUUUGGAUCUUGUUUUGACCAUAAUAAAAUAUUUUCUUCGGAGUAUGGGAAUCCGGUCAAAUGCCGGAACGGCCCCUGCCACCGUAAUCGGGACGAAGCUGCAUUAUGCCACUGUCAAAAGAUGGGAAGGCGCAGCCCAGGAUGAUCGAGAGUCGGGAAACCUGCCGCGGAGAUAGAAUGGCU